CCUCCCCGGGACCUCAGCAGCAAGGCUUUGGGACCCUAAGCCCACAGCUGCCAUUGAAAGGCCGCCCCCACCCCUGGGCCUGAGUCAGGGCGGGGCUCUGAACACAGAUGGGACAGAAGCCUCAGGGACACAUGAGAGGAACGGAGGAGAGCGGAAGGGGCAGGAACCCGAGCCUAAAGUGCAGGCAGAGAGGGCUGAGCCCCAAACCCGGAGGGUCCGGGGAGGAGAAGGGAUGAGGACUUCGACCCAGAGAGGCACAGGCAGAGGAGGGACAGGUCCCGAACCAGGGCUGGCGGGGAGAGGACAAGAGCUUCAGCCUGGAGAUGUGCGAGCAGAGAAAUGACAAAGGCCCCAGACAGGAGGGGCGCAGACAGAGACAGGGCAAGAACUCAAGCCAGGGGCGCAAGUGGACAGGGACAAGGACCGCAUCCUAGAGGAGCUCAGAGAGGUGACGACAAGAGACCCGAGCCUGGAAGAGAGCAAGCGGAGAGGGGACAGAAACCCAGCCUGGACGGGCACAGGCUGGGAGAGGACAAGGACCGCAGAGUGCAGGCGCACAGGCAGAGGUGACAGAGACCGGAGCGCCGAGAGGCGCAGGCAGAGCGGGGAGGGGACCGAGCGUGCCGACUCGGGUCUUGCCGCAUAGCCAGAGACCCGAAGAGCUUUGGGGAAACCUCAGCUGUGUAACUGAGAGCCCUACCAAGAGAUGGCAUCCCCUUGCAUCCUGAUAUGCUCCCACAGGCCCUGUGGUCGGUUUCUUUGCAUUUUAUCUGAUCGUCCUGCCUUUGCUGAAACUAUAUCAAUGGGAUAGUGAGGUAGUGGCACUGUCAUCUCUUUCCUGGUGACAUUCGCCCACGUCCCUCCUCCAUGGAGUCACCAUCUGCCUGUAGUGAGAGACUUGGCCUGCUCCUGCUUUGACAUGACUAAAGCUUCUCAGACAUC